UUUCUGUUCAGCAGUCAAGAAUAUUAGUCAAUGCUCGAAAGAGUGAACUAGCUAACUGAAAUCAAUUAAAAAAUUGAUAACAUAAGGGAAAAUAAUGAUAUUACCUUAUUAUUAGUGUCGUCCAAAACUGGUGCCAGAAGACUCGGUAAGGCCAGAGACACAAACGUUAAUCGUCUUAAUCAGGCGUAAAGGGUUUGUAGGCGGCUUUUAAUUUACUUAUAAAUCUUAUAAAAUAAGUUAAGAAUAAAAGCUAGAAUCAAAUAGAGGAUAUAUUAAAUAAUGCUUAGAGUAGGUCUGAUAUCCUUAGAUACUAAGUAGAAUAUUAAAGGCGAAAGCUUUUUUCCAUAAAUGAUUGACGCUCAGAAACGAAGGUGAGGAUAGGAAAUAGGAUUAGAUACCCAAAAUACCCCUCUCUGUCAACGAUGAAUGGUAGUUAUUAAUAAUAAAUUUAUUAUUAAUGGCAAUGUUAACACGAUAACCAUUCCGCCUUGUGAGUACAACUGCAAAGUUGAAAACAAAAAAAUUAGUCGGUUUCGGAGCAAACGAAGUGAAGCAUGUUAUUUAAUUCGAUAAUCCGCAA
rnacentral:rRNA from 1 species